ACAGCAGUAGACUCCUAGGCGGAUCCGCCUUCAAGACGCCAAACCCGCGUGACUGUCGCAUUCGUUUUGGUGCCGCACAGAGGAUCAGCUCCGCCUCCAGGCGGCCCCGUAAAUUCUACUGUCAAACAGCGGAUCCUGAGUGGACCCAUGUCGGAUCCGCGGGCGCGGACGCGAAUUUACUGUAACGGUUGAACAUGACUGUACACCAAGAGCCAAGAAGAGUCAUACUAGUGGAUAUUUUCUUUGCUGGGACACGGUUGCGCUGAACCCUCUCGACGUCAACUUUUAUCGGCUGGAUUCUAGCAUCUAACGUUACGAUUGCCUCUGUUGGGUUUGCUUGAUCAACCAUCGUUUCGGGGACUCUGAUGACAGUGAAGAGCCAGAAAAUGGUGACUUUGCAUCUCUGAGGUACCUUCCAACUCGCCUGGUAUAUCAGUUGAAGCCUCAAGCCCAAGCCAAUUGCACUGGCAAACUCCACCAUCUCGCCGAGUGCCAGGCAGCCGAGUCACUACCCCUCAACCUGGAGAAAACUGUUAAGCACCUCACCAUGGGGCAGGACCGCAACACUCUUUACCACCUCAACUCCCUGCACCUGCACCUGCAUUUAACAUACGGAGAGUUACUCAAGGAACGGCAGUCCCUCCUCAUCUCCCUCCACCCCCACACCAGCCCUCAACGUGCAGCGAACAGAGGAGCUUUGUGCUGUGAGGAAAAACAUGGUGACACGGUCUGCCACGGACACUGAGGUCACCAAACACGCAAUCAGGUGUUUCAACCGGCGGUGGAUCGGGCAACGAGGAGAUGUGUUCCGCCUCCAUCCACACAAAUGGAGUAAUGGGAGAAAUAAGCAUUAAACAAUCUUUUUAUUGAACUUCUUGUCAUUCACCAGUUAUUCAUUUUCUGAUAUUUUAGCUGUGCAUAGCGCAGUAUUUCAUUGAAGUUGUAGCCUAUUAGAUAAAAUAUUUCAUGUCUGCACUGACCUAGGCCUAUAAAGCACUAAAUUAGGUUUUGACCACAAAAUGAAUG